AUCAUUUCUCAGCGUUUUGGCUAAGAUCAAGUGUAGUAUCUGUUCUUAGCAGUUUAAUACCUUCCUGUAUCGGAAGACAAUAUGCUCAGUGGAUUUGGGGGCCAGGGAGAGGGAAUCAGAGUCGCUCUGGCCACUCCUAGCACCGGCUGGUUUUGCAGGAAAGGUGCACCUCUC
rnacentral:snRNA from 1 species